rnacentral:rRNA from 1 species
AGCGAACGCUGGCGGCAGGCCUAACUCAUGCAAGUCGAACGAACUCUUCGGAGUUAGUGGCGGACGGGUGAGUAACACGUGGGAACGUGCCUUUUGGUUCGGAAUAACUCAGGGAAACUUGUGCUAAUACCGAAUGUGCCCUUCGGGGGAAAGAUUUAUCGCCAUUAGAGCGGCCCGCGUCUGAUUAGCUAGUUGGUGAGGUAACGGCUCACCAAGGCGACGAUCAGUAGCUGGUCUGAGAGGAUGACCAGCCACACUGGGACUGAGACACGGCCCAGACUCCUACGGGAGGCAGCAGUGGGGAAUCUUGCGCAAUGGGCGAAAGCCUGACGCAGCCAUGCCGCGUGAAUGAUGAAGGUCUUAGGAUUGUAAAAUUCUUUCACCGGGGACGAUAAUGACGGUACCCGGAGAAGAAGCCCCGGCUAACUUCGUG